UAAUACUAGCGGUCCAAGUCGCAGCCAUUUUUAUUUGGUCUAAAACAUCCGUAGCUUGUUCGAUAAGUUUUUUGUGAAAUCUUGUAUCUCAAAUACAAGGCGGGCAAAAAGUACUAUCGGGCUAGAGACUGGUAGACGUAGGAAGUACGGUCGAGGUAGCGGUAAAAUGCUUUAAUCUCAAUCGGACUCACAAUAGCGAAGGCAUCCCACGAGGACAGUUCUGACAGUAAGGGAUGAAGGCUAGGGGCGCAAAACGGAUUAGAUACCCGUGUAGUCCUAGCAGUAAACUCUGCACACUAAACAUUAGUACCUCCUCGAGAGGUAUUAGUGCUGAAGGGAAGCCGAAGAGUGUGCUACCUGGGAAGUAUAGUCGCAAGGCCG
rnacentral:rRNA from 1 species